rnacentral:rRNA from 1 species
UACGUAGGGCGCAAGCGUUAUCCGGAAUUAUUGGGCGUAAAGAGCUCGUAGGCGGUUUGUCGCGUCUGCCGUGAAAGUCCGGGGCUCAACUCCGGAUCUGCGGUGGGUACGGGCAGACUAGAGUGAUGUAGGGGAGACUGGAAUUCCUGGUGUAGCGGUGAAAUGCGCAGAGUAUCGGGAGGAACACCAGUAGCGAAGGCGGCACUCUGGGCCGGAACUGACGCUGAGGAGCGAAAGCGUGGGGAGCGAACGA